AAACCCAUAAAAGCGACGGACAGAGUAGUUUAGUCCGUCGCUUUUCUGGGUUUUU
rnacentral:pre_miRNA from 1 species